CAUAUGCUAAGUGAAAAAAGUGAGACUCAACUCAGUAAGUUACACAUGGUUUCAAUGCAUUUAUAUGACAUUGUUGAAAAGCCAAAACUAUAAUGACAGAAGAGAAAUCAAAAAUUUAGCUGAAACUGACAUGCAUGGCUGCAUUUUAAAUCAUCAUAAAAUUUUAUUCAGGAAGCAAAAUACUGGAAUCCAUAUAGCAACAAAUCUACAUAAAGAAUGUAGGUGUAUGUUGCUAUCAACUUCCCUGUUAGAACUGCUUUUACUGUAUCCCAUAGAUUUUGGUAUGUUAGGUUUCCAUUUGUUAGUCUCAAGGAAUUUUUUAAUUAUAACUUUAAAUUCUUCAUUGACCCUCUGGUUGGUCAGGAGGAUGUUUAAUUUCCAUGUAUUUGUGAAUUCUCCAAAGUCCUCCAGUUCCAAAGCUCAUAUUUAUAAGAAUACAAAAACAUCCAUCACCUAAGAUAAAAUUCACAAUGUCUAAUAGCUUAAAUACCAAACCUUUACACAUGCAGGAUAAAGGUACUAAUAACUGUGGCAAACUAGGUCAUUUCAGAUUGAAAAUCUAUAUCAAAAAUCAGCAAAGUAUGGGUCAAGCCUGGUCUGCUGCCUAUUUUGUAAUACAGUAUUCCUGGAAUACAGCCAUACCCAUUCUUUUACAUAUUGUCUAUGACUGCUUUGACAUGAAAACAGCAGAGUUGAUAGUUGUGACAAAGACUGUGUAGACAGGCCACAAAGCCUAAAAUAUUUACUAUCUGUUUCUUUACAGGAAAAAAUUGCCUAUUCCUAAAGUAAAAGAAGGUAUCUUAGAGCCAGGCAAAGAAAGGGCUUGAGUUACUUCUUUAAAAUGAGAGCAUUCUACUAAAUGAUUUUCAAGAUCCUUUUCCCUUGUAACAAAAUAGGUUUGUACUAUUCGAAAAGGGCAAGCAUUGGCAUUACUCAUGAACAUUAUGUGAUACAGUGAAAUGAUCACUAGGCUUAAUUUUGAACUGGGGAUAAUGCUAUCUGUGAUAAUCAACUCUCAGGGUUGCUCUGAAGACUAAAGCCCUGGGAUCAUUCAUUUUAAAAGAAAAGAACGGUGACUCAUCAUUUCAAGCUUUUCAGUAAGUGUCUGUUAUUACUAACAUUAACCUAAUUAUACUAAUAAUAUACAUUAGCAGGCCACAUUUGCUGGGAGGGCUCUGGAAAUUAUAAAUGUAUUUGAAGUUCCAUCUCAUAUCAAUGGUAAGAGCAAGAAACACAAGCUCAUAGUUGGAUUUUUGAUAGUUGAGGAAACAACUCAGAACUCAGUCAUUCUAUAAAUACAUUAACUAAGAAAAUUUAAAUCUAGAGGCCUCUCACUAUAUUCUCGAAGUGGAAAUACUACUCAGUAGGCAGAGGAGUCAUGCUGGUGACUUUAGCCUGUCCUACUGUUCCCAAAUAAGUUUUUCAGUAUUGACUCUGGGACUACCUUGACAACACUUGCUACAUUCCACCUUAGCAAGUAAAAGUAGAAUUAAGCUUAAGUAUUGAGCAUUUAAGUAAAAUUAAGUUCCAUAAUUCCAUAAAACAAAAUCUCUGGUACCCAGAAAAUUGAAUCAUAUUAUACUUUUCAAAAGUAUCACACUUAAACUUAUUGCUAACAGGAUUCAAGCCAAAAAAAUCUGAAUCUAGAAGUUUCUGGCACUGAUUCCAUUAGCUUUCUAUACUUUCCAUACAAGAACAGUUCAGGCUUUCCAAAACCUGCAAAAGUAAUCUAUUUUUAGGUGGCUACAGAUCUUAAUCCUAAGGCAACAGCAUAUAAGCCUGGUAAUAUUCUUACCAUCUUCCUGUCUGCCAAUAAUUCAACCAAUAGAAAAGGUUUUUUUCUGUUUUUAUUUUUCAGAAUAUGAAGUAUUACAGUAAAAAGGAUUUCACUAAAAAAAAUCAUCUACCAUACAGACACUAUAGAAGGCUUGGAAAAGACAUUGUAAUAUAAAAGAUAUAUUUUAAAUUGUGUCUAUCCCUGGAACUCUAUUAAAAUUCAAUAUUAAGAAAGUCACAAAGGAGUCUAACUUGCCUUUCAAAGUAAGCUUUAAGAGCUUUCGUGCGCGCGCACACACACACACACACACACAAACUUUUGAAUAUGAAUAAAAUCUUUUUAAUUAUACUUUGCCAAAAAAUCUGGGAUCUUCAUCUGCCUAUUCAACCUUAAAAAACAAACCACAAAGUUCCCUCUCUAAUCUUCCGUAUCUUACUAUCAUUCGCCAAGUUUUAUGAGACAUAAAAU
rnacentral:lncRNA from 1 species